UACGUAGGGGGCAAGCGUUGUCCGGAUUUAUUGGGCGUAAAGAGCGUGUAGGCGGCCAGAAAAGUCCGCUGUGAAAACUCGAGGCUCAACUUCGAGCUGUCGGUGGAAACUUUCUGGCUAGAGUCCGGAAGAGGAGAAUGGAAUUCCUGGUGUAGCGGUGAAAUGCGCAGAUAUCAGGAAGAACACCCGUGGCGAAGGCGGCUCUCUGGGACGUGACUGACGCUGAGACGCGAAAGCGUGGGGAGCGAACAGG
rnacentral:rRNA from 1 species